CAGCAGCCGCGGUAAAACGUAGGUGGCAAGCGUUGUCCGGAAUUAUUGGGCGUAAAGGGCUCGCAGGCGGCUUCUUAAGUCUGAUGUGAAAGCCCCCGGCUCAACCGGGGAGGGUCAUUGGAAACUGGGAAACUUGAGUGCAGAAGAGGAGAGUGGAAUUCCACGUGUAGCGGUGAAAUGCGUAGAGAUGUGGAGGAACACCAGUGGCGAAGGCGACUCUCUGGUCUGUAACUGACGCUGAGGAGCGAAAGCGUGGGGAGCGAACAGGAUUAGAGACCCCCGUAGUCCCUGUCUCUUAUAC
rnacentral:rRNA from 1 species